rnacentral:rRNA from 1 species
UGCAGUCGAGCGGAACGAGUUGUCUGAACCUUCGGGGAACGAUAACGGCGUCGAGCGGCGGACGGGUGAGUAAUGCCUGGGAAAUUGCCCUGAUGUGGGGGAUAACCAUUGGAAACGAUGGCUAAUACCGCAUAAUAGCUUCGGCUCAAAGAGGGGGACCUUCGGGCCUCUCGCGUCAGGAUAUGCCCAGGUGGGAUUAGCUAGUUGGUGAGGUAAGGGCUCACCAAGGCGACGAUCCCUAGCUGGUCUGAGAGGAUGAUCAGCCACACUGGAACUGAGACACGGUCCAGACUCCUACGGGAGGCAGCAGUGGGGAAUAUUGCACAAUGGGCGCAAGCCUGAUGCAGCCAUGCCGCGUGUAUGAAGAAGGCCUUCGGGUUGUAAAGUACUUUCAGCAGUGAGGAAGGUGGUGUACUUAAUACGUGCAUCAUUUGACGUUAGCUGCAGAAGAAGCACCGGCUAACUCCGUGCCAGCAGCCGCGGUAAUACGGAGGGUGCGAGCGUUAAUCGGAAUUACUGGGCGUAAAGCGCAUGCAGGUGGUUUGUUAAGUCAGAUGUGAAAGCCCGGGGCUCAACCUCGGAAUUGCAUUUGAAACUGGCAGACUAGAGUACUGUAGAGGGGGGUAGAAUUUCAGGUGUAGCGGUGAAAUGCGUAGAGAUCUGAAGGAAUACCGGUGGCGAAGGCGGCCCCCUGGACAGAUACUGACACUCAGAUGCGAAAGCGUGGGGAGCAAACAGGAUUAGAUAC